AAGGCAAAUUUAUUGGAACCCAAGUGUCCCGCAGUAAUGUUUCAACCAAACUUAUAUAUUGUAUUUAAUAUAUAAAUAUUUGGUUGAAACGUUGCUGCUGGACACUUGGGUUCCAAUACAUUUG